CCGAAUGGCCGGGGGGGAGCGGCGGGAUGACGGGUGGGGAAGUCGUUGUUCGGAAUUAAUGGGUGGAAAGGGGGGUGAGGCGGUACGGUAUGUUGGACGGGAAAGCCCCGGGCUGAACUCUGGGCGGUCGUUCAAAACGGCCGUGCUAGAGUGUGGGAGAGGGAAGUGGAAUUCCCGGUGUAGCGGGGAAAUGCGUAGAUAUCGGGAAGAACACCUGUGGCGAAGGCGGCUUCCUGGCCCGCAACUGACGCUGAGGCGCGAAAGCUAGGGGAGCAAACAGGAUUAGAUACCCCAGUAGUC
rnacentral:rRNA from 1 species